rnacentral:rRNA from 1 species
AUGACAUCGACGACCGGGACAUGUGCCCAAGCUGACAAGGACAUCGUCGAGUCCGACAACAAUCUCUACUAUGAGCUCGUCCACCACGACUCCCCACAGAAGAGGCAAGCGAUGUGCUUCAGUACAUGGUGUGAUGACUUGUGCUCCCAUGGCUGCCUCCUAGGCUACAACAACAUUAGCAAGGUUGUUGACAGGAUGGUGGGCAAGGGUCCAGAGCGCCCCGAGCCUCCUGCGAGCGCUACUGGGAGGGGUGGUUCCAUUAUUCCAGCCCAGCCCCUCCAAAAAGCGCUGCUAGACAGUAUGCAGACAGCUGCGGCGGGCGCUUCUUCUUCGGCUGGGAGAGGUCAGGGGAGGAUGAAGAAGGCUGCUAGAGGUGGACGUGGCAGCGGGAGAGGUAGGAAGGCUGCUACGCCUUCCUCGCCGCCACCCUUAGCUGAUUCACCCGACCACGUGGACCCGUCUCGGACUCCGGUCCAUGAGCCUUCGGUCACCGAUCCUUAG